rnacentral:rRNA from 1 species
ACGCACGCUGGCGGCGUGCUUAACACCUGCACGUCGCACGGAAAGGCCCUGCUUUUGUGGGGUGCUCGAGUGGCGAACGGGUGAGUAACACGUGAGUAACCUGCCCUUGACUUUGGGAUAACUUCAGGAAACUGGGGCUAAUACCGGAUAGGAGCUCCUGCUGCAUGGUGGGGGUUGGAAAGUUUCGGCGGUUGGGGAUGGACUCGCGGCUUAUCAGCUUGUUGGUGGGGUAGUGGCUUACCAAGGCUUUGACGGGUAGCCGGCCUGAGAGGGUGACCGGCCACAUUGGGACUGAGAUACGGCCCAGACUCCUACGGGAGGCAGCAGUGGGGAAUAUUGCACAAUGGGCGGAAGCCUGAUGCAGCAACGCCGCGUGCGGGAUGACGGCCUUCGGGUUGUAAACCGCUUUCGCCUGUGACGAAGCGUGAGUGACGGUAAUGGGUAAAGAAGCACCGGCUAACUACGUG